AUACGGAGGGUGCAAGCGUUAAUCGGAAUUACUGGGCGUAAAGCGCGCGUAGGCGGCUAAGUAAGUCGGAUGUGAAAGCCCUGGGCUCAACCUGGGAAUUGCAUUCGAUACUGCUUGGCUAGAGUAUGGUAGAGGGUAGUGGAAUUCCUGGUGUAGCGGUGAAAUGCGUAGAUAUCAGGAGGAACAUCAGUGGCGAAGGCGGCUACCUGGACCAAUACUGACGCUGAGGUGCGAAAGCGUGGGGAGCAAACAGGAUUAGAAACCCCAGUAGUCC
rnacentral:rRNA from 1 species